UUUAAAAAUGAAAUUUAUUUCUUCUACCAAACGGAGCCUAACAACAAAUUCGCUGCGUUCUGAAUUCCGAUAAGUCGUUGGGAUUCGAAUUUCAGUUACUAGUUUAGAUCCCAAAAACCCUAACCCUAGCAGAAACCCUUUCUCCUCCUUCCUCUCUCGGUUUCAGCAGAAACUCUCCGACGUUCGGUUCUUCCUCGAAAACCCUAGCCCUCUUCGCCCCUAACCCGCGUGUUCUGCGAUUUUGAUAUCGACGAGGUCGGAGGCUCCUUUGCCUUUGGUAAUAUGGAUCAAGUCGAUUCCUUUAGGAUUUCCGAGGUGGAUCUAACUAAGUGGGAGAAAAAGUGCAAACCACUUGAAGAUGAAACUGCUAGCGAACUAUUUAAUUGGAUCGUCAAAUGAUAUCCACAAUCAACUGUACUCUGAACGUAUAUAUAGUUUUGACAAUCAAUCAAGUUUUUCAAAUGGUGUUAUGCCUCUGCAAAAUUAUACAAAUGAGAGCUAUCAGGUUUCCCAUUCAGAACUAUCUGAAGUCUCUGAGGUUGGCCCUUGUCUACAUUAUUCGAAUUCACAUUCGCUUGCGGGCACACAAUUUGAUACAAAUUCAUGGGGUUUGAAGGAUUUAGCAAGUUACAUGGAUAACCGGCAGUCUCUUGUUUGUAAUGAUGGGAAAUGCUCUGCUGAUGGCUAUCUCUCUAACAGAAGGAUGUACCAGGCAUAUCCUGAUAAAAGAAUUGUUAAUGGAGAGAGCAGUUUUCAAGUGAUGAAGGAGAUAAAUUUGGUGAUAUUUCUUUUCGCAUCUGUGCGCCUUUUUCCCCACCUUCAGGUUUGCAUGACCUGAUUCAAAUUUCUUCCUAAGUUCAAGAAGAGGCUGAAGAAAAUGUGCAUGUGGGGGCACCUCCUCCCUGGUUUGAUGCAACUGAAGAAAAUCCACUUAAUGUUAGACCAAAAUCAAGAUUAGGAACAAAUAACCUUGCUUCUUCUUGCAAUAAGGAAGUUCCAAUUGAAUCCAAAAUGGGCGGGAGCUGCUUGGGAAGGGAAGAGAAAGAUAGAGAUGGAGAGGAAAGAAGAGAUUGUCACCAAUAAUUUUGAUGUUAACUGGCUACCAAAUUUUGAUAGAGUUGGCAAUCUGGUAGCCUAAAGGAAUCUAGAAAAGAAUUUAAGGUAGAGAACAAAAACUCUCCAAGGGUUGAACUUCAGUCAGAGACAUCAAUCAAGAUACAGCCUUACAUCAGCAAACAGAUGGUGCAUGUAUGGCAGUUGGUCAACUUGUUAGCAUCAGUUCAUGUGCCCUAUAAAAGCCUCUUCCUUUGCCAAAUGGGUAAUGAGGGAGUAGCUACCAUGUUAUAUAUUUCAUUUUAUCAAUUUGUUUCCUUUGCAACCUG